GUGCUUGCUUCGGCAGCACAUAUACUAACGUUGGAACGAUACAGAGAAGAUUAGCACGGCCCCUGCACAGGGAUGACACACACAUUCAUGAAACGUUGCAUAAAAAA